rnacentral:lncRNA from 1 species
GUUCUAAUAUGGGGAAAUUCCAGACCCAGGCAGACCUCAGAGAGAUUUUGGGUUUGGUUCCAGACCACUGAAAUAAAGUGAAUAUUGCAAUAAAGCAAGCCACACAUGUUUUUUGGUUUCCCAGUGCAUAUAAAAGUCAGACUACUGUAAUCUCUUAAGUGUGACACAGUGUUAUACCUAAAACACAUUCACACCUUCAUUUAGAAAUACGCUACUGCUAAAAAUGCCAGAACAAUCACAAGAGGGGCCGCAAAGAUCACCAACCACAGGUCACCGUAACAAAUAUCAUAGCACUAAGAAUAAUAAAGAUUGAACUGUUGUGAGGCCUGCCCACGUCUGACAGAGACAUGACGGGAGCCAAUGCCAUCGCAAAAAUGACACCUGGAGACUUGCUCUUCCCUUCGGUCCGUAAAACACGUGUGUCCACAAAGCCCCACAAAGCGAAAGCCAAUAAAAUGAGGUGACAUGAAGUCACUCUUAAACUCCGGUGCAUGACCAGUGAUAACGUCGCUUCCAAGGCUGCUUGGAGCAGAGACCGGGAUGACACGGGCCUAGGAACUGAGCCGUGACAGUGACCAAGGCAAACGGAGCUUUAGGGAGAAGACACAGCCUCCUCGAAGACAACAGUCUUGCAAGCUUGAAGGAGAGGCUGGAGAAGCCCCAGCGGGAAGAGAGCAGGUGGAAGGCACGGGGAAGGGGGGAAAGGCGGCAAAGACACCGUCCUCCCCGCUGGACAUUUAGGCUACAGACCAAGGAGCUAGGCUAACGAGGUGUAAGUACAGCCCCGCAAAGUUGCAGUGGAGAGUUAAUGAGUCAAAAGAAAAGUCGCAAGGAAACCCCAGCCCCUGGUGGUUGGUCUUCACCGCUCACAACGUGUCACAUGUGGCCUUAGGCUUUCACGGGAAGUACCUAGAGUCCCCUCGACCGAGAAGCACGAUGUUGAGAGUUUCGCGUGGAGGACCAAAAAGCCUUAAAGAGAAGGACUUCGGACCGUCUGGCUCAACGACAAGUGAACACGGUGUCAUUGUACAUGUGGAACCUGAAAUACUGAGUUUCUUUGUACAUCAGAACUAAAUAUCCCGUUUUACUGCUGCAUCCACUGCUGAUGUCUUUGAAGCCUUGCAAGAAGAAAAUCACUACCUUACGAGCAGUCUUAACUGAAUCAGCUAUUUUGCACCAAUCAAAAAUGUAUCUAUUUUUAUCAGGAUACAAAAAAAAAAAAAAAAAAAAACCCCAAUACGUCUAUAAGUAAUACAAAGUUGAGGAUACAGGUGCUAAUUGAUUGACAUCCCCUAAGAGCACCGCCUCCCACCUCCGCACACCCUGGUCUGACGUCCAAUUUUAAAUUAAGACUGGUAGAUAAAUUCUAUUUUCUGUAAUUUCAUUCAGCUCUAGGCCCGAGUUGUUUGGGAGCUACUGGCCUGAGGCACUAAGAUUCUCAUCAAAGGGACAGACUAACGAGGGUUUCUUUCCAAGAUCAAAGCAUGUCUUUGUUUCUGGGUGAUUACUUUUCUUUUAACGGCGGUGUUUAUUUUUGUACACAUGGUCCUUUUUGUUUGUUAUCUAAGAUGUUGUGAAAAUAUUGCUGCCAGGACUUCAGCGCCGAGUGGGACCCUCUCGGCCUCAGUUUCUCUGGGCGUCUGUUCUGGGCUCAACUGACCUGUGGGGACGGGACUCCCCGCCCUCCCGCCUGGCCCCUGGGCCGUCUGCCACCCACCUCUUCAGCUAUCAAAGGCUCUUUGGCCAGAGCGGUAUGUUUUGGUUUCAUCUCCAGGUACUUUGGACUCGGGAAUGUUUGGCAGGAGAGAGAAAAACAGAAAAGGUCAGUUUCACUUGAGGCCCCAUGAUGCCAGCGGUCGUUUCCCACAAGUGACCCGGCUCUGACUCAGCUUUCACUUUUCUUGUGACGGCGUCUCUGAUGGCAUCCACAUUCCAGAUCAGCCGGCGAGGGAGCAGCGCGAAUCUUGGCAUCCACACGGCGGAUGCUCAGCCUCCAGCCGGGCCAUCUCCUGCCGCCUGUCUUUUCCCCGCAGGGGUGCAAGCUGGCAGGUAGACCCGGGGGCCCCCAGUUUUG